rnacentral:tRNA from 1 species
UGGGAUGUAGUUCAGUGGAAGAGCACUUGCCUUGCAUGCAUGAGGCCUUAGGUUUAAUUUCCAGCACUGCAG